rnacentral:rRNA from 1 species
UACGAAGGGGGCUAGCGUUGUUCGGAAUCACUGGGCGUAAAGAGCGCGCAGGCGGUCGAUCAAGUCGAGUGUGAAAGCCCCCGGCUCAACUGGGGAGGGUCAUUCGAAACUGGUCGACUCGAAGGCAGGAGAGGGUAGUGGAAUUCCCGGUGUAGUGGUGAAAUGCGUAGAUAUCGGGAGGAACACCAGUGGCGAAGGCGACUACCUGGCCUGUUCUUGACGCUGAGGCGCGAAAGCUAGGGGAGCAAACGGG